AUACAUAUCUGGUAGGGGAGACACCAUGAUCAAGAAGGUGGUUCACCCAGAGCGAGGCUCGGCCAUUGCAAUUCGGCCGAUUUGACCCCUGCGAAUUCCCCAAAUGUGGGAGUCUCGACUGCAUAAUUUAGGGUAGUGGGGGACUGCGUUGAAAGAUUAGUGAGCAGUCGUGGCCUGAU
rnacentral:snRNA from 1 species